GACGAACGCUGGCGGCGUGCUUAACACAUGCAAGUCGAACGGAAAGGCCCUGCUUUUGUGGGGUGUUCGAGUGGCGAACGGGUGAGUAACACGUGAGUAACCUGCCCUUGACUUUGGGAUAACUUCAGGAAACUGGGGCUAAUACCGGAUAGGAGCUCUUGCUGCACGGUGGGGGUUGGAAAGUUUCGGCGGUUGGGGAUGGACUCGCGGCUUAUCAGCUUGUUGGUGGGGUAGUGGCUUACCAAGGCUUUGACGGGUAGCCGGCCUGAGAGGGUGACCGGCCACAUUGGGACUGAGAUACGGCCCAGACUCCUACGGGAGGCAGCAGUGGGGAAUAGUGCACAGUGGGCGGAAGCCUGAUGCAGCAACGCCGCGUGCGGGAUGACGGCCUUCGGGUUGUAAACCGCUUUCGCCUGUGACGAAGCGUGAGUGACGGUAAUGGGUAAAGAAGCACCGGCUAACCACGUG
rnacentral:rRNA from 1 species